UUAUUAUUGUUCUUGUUUAACGAUGAUAAAUAAUUACUAAGAUCAUAAGAGCCAUUUUACUGUGGGCAUAAAAAUUCUUUCGAGAGAUCUUAGUGAGAAAAGAAUGUUCCUAAUUGGCGUUUAAUCGCAGUGUACACGGCGUUAGUUAUUAUAUCUGAAAUUGAGGCGACUUUCAAGCAAGCGCUUAUAUCGAGCUACUCUCUUAUCAUAUCUCCCGCGAGGUGUCGACGUUAAGCGCUUUAGCUUAGAUUUCUCGAAUCGUUCCUGAUAACUUUUUCAUCGCGUCAUUAUUUUCAUCCGCAUUACGAACAAUCAUGCAGCGCGAGACAUUAGAGUGAUAACAACUGCGCUACGUGCAAGUAUGUACUUGAACGGCAGUUUUUCUUCUGUCGUAGCAUAACGCACAUGCCGCAUAUUUCAAUUUUAAUGUCUCGCUUUAACGGAAAAAUUACUGAAUAUGUGUUGCACAUUGCGCGAUAACGAAAGUAAUAUAUCGGCCCAUCCUAAAACUAAUGCGGUAUAAAAGCGGGUCUGAUCUGUUCUUUAACUCAAUACGGAAUGAUUCUUUUAUUGCCAAUUGAAAAAUUAAGAUUAAGUUGUAAAUAAUAAUGGAAGAUAUAUUUUAGAUAAAAAUUUCAAUGUCGAGCUUUUUGUCAUUUCGAAAAUGAUCUCUGAGAUAGCCACUAUUUACGGGAUAAUUCAAUACUUUGAAUACCGGAUCAAGUUUGAAACUAGUUUCGUUUUUGAAAGUAAGGUUUUACGCAUAUAUUUUUAAGAAUUUUUAUGUACGUAUGGUUUACACAGCUUCCUCUUUCAAGCUUAUUGUUAGAUCUAACUUAGAAGAUAUUUUACACAAGUCACUUAUUUUUAGAAAGAACUGUGAGUUGCAGAAAAUAAAAUUGGAAUAAAAAUAAGUAUUAACUUUCAAACAUAACGAAUGAAUGGAGAGAGAAGAAUUUUAAAGGAAUUUAGACGACAGCGCGUGAAAUAUUCCGAAAGCCAUGCUCUUUCCCUGCUAAUCCCUGUCCUUCGGUUUUUCUCAACGGAAUCUCGGUUCUAUAAAACGGACCGGUUUCAGACGCGCGAGGAAAAUAUGGGCCUUCUAUUUAUCACUGUGCUGACACACUAGAACCACCGGCGGUACAAUUACAGCAUCAGAUGUGUUUGCGCUGUCUGGCUUCGGAGUUGCCGUUUGGCAGAUCGAAAGUGAGGGGGCCGUCAGUAAGAUGGCGAACGCGGAAUCGGCGAAACAUAUUUCGGAACAGCACAUUUCGAGGCUGCGAGAUAAGGCCUGCGAGCCACAGAUGGGAUUUACAUAGUGCGGUACGAUAAUACGGCAGCACGUGAUCGCUGGCGUUAUCAUCGCCCGGUUGUUGAUCUACUGCGCGUAGUGCCUUCGGUCACGAUGAUUGCCGAGAACCAGGAAAUCGUACGGCAGACAUCGCGACGUAAGGGAAGAAUACCAAAGAGAGAGAGAAGAUUCGGUGGAGUUCACGACGCUUCUACCGUCCGGUUGUGAAGACAGAUAGUUUCGCGGAGCUUCGCAACUUCCACAAAUGUAUUGUAUUUACGUAGCGAGCUUUAUUGCGCCUGGGCUGCGCUUAAAAGACUUAAGCCGGACUGUGAAGCGACUUCAGUCGGGUUAACAGCGAGGCAAUAACAAAGUCUGUAAAUGAAAAUCGGCAGUUUACAUCAUUCCGCUUGUUAUUCCGCACUCGUUGGCGAAGUACGAACGCGGCGUUUCGCGGAAAUACUUGCACGCGCUGAUUCCGUCGACUUGGAAAUAUCCUUUUUACAUUGUUUCACGCGAGACUCUCCUGGGUGAUUUAAAUGCCGUGCUGUAAUUUGCAGCAAAAUUCUAAUGCGCCAAGUUCUUUCAACAGAGCGUCGCCCCCCCCGCCUGUUUUUUGGUCGAAAACUGCUCGGAUGGUCUUGGUCACACGGGAAUUUAGCGACACCGAAGCCGCGUGAGAAUUGGUUUGACUGGAGUAAAAAUUUACAAGCGGAAUAUCAUGUAUAGUUACACGUCCACGUGGCUGUAGCCGCGGAAACCUGGAGACGCAGCGACGCACUUGUUAAUUUGUGACUCGUCGCAUACGCGGUAUGCAAAUUUGUUGAGAUCCUAAUAAAUCAAAUAUCCCAGCGAAGCGAUAAUUUGGCGUACGUCAGGCGUAGUUAGUUGAGACCAGCGUAUAAAUUAUCAUAAUAAAUAUCUUACACCCGAAA